GGCCGGAUGGUCUAGUUGGUUACGACGCUUCCUUUACACGGAAUAGGUCCUGGGUUCGAACCCCAGUCUGGUCA